rnacentral:lncRNA from 1 species
AGAAGCGAUAACCAAGCAAAUCAAACUCUGACAUAUAAGAUAUUAAGGUUUCCCUAUCCUUUUGACAAAGUCAAGUUUCCCUCUAUCUUUAGAAAGGGAAGCUAAGUUUUGACGAUCAGGCUUUAGGAUAUAGAGAAUAGACCAAGUUGAGAUAAACAGCUGGAUUGUCAUACCAUGAAUAUUCAUAUGUGGAUUGGGACCUUCUCGCCCUCAUAAAAAGGAUAGAGGCCUAAAUGUGGGUAACUUAUUACACAGCUGUCUUCUCACACAAAUUGCAUUUAGGCGGGAGUAUGUUUAUAGUGCCUGCCCUUUCGGGUAGGAGAAAGGCUCGUCUACAUAUUAUCCUCCCCAGACCCCACUUUGUGGGACUAUAUUGGGUAGUUGUUGUAUGUUUAUAGUGCAUUCAGUAAAAGAAAACGUGGAAUCUCACAAAGAGCAAUCUAUCUUUAAGUUAAUUACUGCACAGGCCAAUCUUGAUAGAAUCUUACUAGUCUAGAAAAAAGCUCCUGAUAUAAGAGAGGCAGAGAGAUUGGAAGUACGGGGACGUUUUAUCAACUUAGACUUGGAGCAGACAAUUCUUCUCCCAAAAUGUCCUCUGCCUAUACAUAGUAUCUUUUUCCCCAUCAAACAGGAUGUCAAGUAACUUCUUUCUUUCAAUUAUAUGAAUUAGUGCCUUUAUAGCUAUAAUAAAUGGAUUUAUUUCUAUCAAAAGGAAGUUAACAAACUAGAGCACACUAGUCAAUAAAAACAUAUGACCAAGACAAAAGGCAUUGAGAAUGGAACUCAAGAAUAAGAUAUUUCAGGACGUACUUUCUGUACAAAGGUGAUUUACCAGCCAUGUCAGAUAGAAACAUAACAACACUGCAAACAAAAUAAAAGGUUAAUGACAAGUUCUGCACAUGUAAAGACAGAGAAGCUACCUGUAAAUAUUAUCAGAUAGAAACAUCACAACACUGCAAACAAAAUAAAAGGUUAAUGACAAGUUCUGCAUGUGUAAAGACAGAGAAGCUACCUGUACAUAUCUAAAUAUAGAUCAACAGCAAGCCUGAUAUUAGUAACAAGUACAUAAGGGCUAGCUUAGUAAUACAACACUUAUCAACAGAAGUUCUACUAAUAGCGUCACAAUAAUCUUUGGUGAUUUUUUUUUUCAAUAAGGUAACAAAUUAUAUUGAUAAUGGUAAACAUCCCGUAUACAAGCGGUACACCAAAAAGUAGAGAAUCCACAUAUAAUCUUUGAUGAUUGCGGCAAGACGAAAUGAAAAGAUCCUUCUAUAUCGAAAUCUCAGUUGAAAAAAAUAAUAGGAAAAUUUGUGGAUCACCCUUGGAGAAGAACCAAAACAGAAUGGUAGCUAAAACCUCUAUUACAAAUGGAACUUGCGAUAAGUGUGAUAAGACCAAUUGCUUGUAAUAUCGGUGUGUCCCUCUAAACUCUGCAUGAUAACUUAUGUUCAAAGCAAAUUCAUAGACAAGAUAACAUUUAAAUGACGUGCAUAAAUAAGAUUGCCUAUCAAAAGGAAAAGAUUAAAAAAAAACAUUCAUAGACAAGAUACAAAGCCAUACUCCUCCGUGAUCAGGGUCAAAAUUCAUGAUAAAAAAACAAAAAUUAUCACAUACAUAACAUGCUAGCGACCCCAAUUUAACUUCUAUUGUCACACAUUAUGGUGAAGGAUACCAAAACUGAAAGCAGAAUAGAUUUAUUGCUGGUCAUGCACCUUUAAAAUUUUACCCUGCUUAUAAAAGAAAAUAAUGAAGUAGAAUAGAUUUAUUAAGAGCAUAUUGAUGAUUUGAUUCAUUUUAGAAUAAAUGGUAUAAAUCUUCCCCGUUCCAUUUAUGUGACAUCAUUUGACGGGAUAGAAUUAUAAAUGCUAAUUUUAUGGGUAAAUCAUAUUGGUCAAAGUACAUGAGUUAAGAGAAAAGCACUACAAGAGUUCAACUAUGAAUAGUUCAGUAAUUCAAAUUCUAAAUAAUUUGUGGAAUUUCUAAAAAAACUAGCAUUGAUGAUUACAUUGUGCCAAAUAUAAAGAUUCCAAAAUGGAGGUGUAACGAUCAAACUCAACAAAUGUAAUCAACUAAUUCCAUAAAUAUUUAAGCACCCAGAAUUUAUAAAAAUGCUUAUUUGCAGCAUUUUGCAACCUAAUGUUGUUUCUUUUU